rnacentral:rRNA from 1 species
AGAGUUUGAUCAUGGCUCAGAAUGAACGUUGGCGGCGUGGAUUAGGCAUGCAAGUCGAACGCGUGUAGCAAUACACGAGUGGCGAAAGGGACAGUAAUGUGUAGAUACGUACCCUCCGGUCUGGGAUAGUCCAUCGAAAGGUGGGGUAAUACCAGAUAAUGUCUCCGGACCAAAGGUGUGAUUCCACCGGUGGAGCGAUCUGCAUCCUAUUAGCUUGUUGGCGGGGUAAUGGCCCACCAAGGCAAUGAUGGGUAGCGGGUGUGAGAGCACGACCCGCGUCACUGGGACUGAGAUACUGCCCAGACACCUACGGGUGGCUGCAGUCGAGGAUCUUCGGCAAUGGACGCAAGUCUGACCGAGCGACGCCGCGUGCGGGAUGAAGGCUUUCGGGUUGUAAACCGCUGUCAGUGGGGAGGAAAUCGUAGAGGGUAAUCUCUCUAUGUUGACCUAUCCGCAGAGGAAGCAAGGGCUAAGUUCGUGCCAGCAGCCGCGGUAAGACGAACCUUGCUAACGUUAUUCGGAAUUACUGGGCUUAAAGGGUGCGUAGGCGGUGCAGAAAGUCGGGUGUGAAAUCCCUCAGCUCAACUGAGGAAUUGCGUCCGAAACUGCUGUGCUCGAGAAAGAUAGAGGUACGCGGAACUUAGGGUGGAGCGGUGAAAUGCGUUGAUAUCCUAAGGAACACCGGUGGCGAAAGCGGCGUACUGGGUCUUUUCUGACGCUGAGGCACGAAAGCUAGGGUAGCGAACGGGAUUAGAUACCCUAGUAGUCC